GAUGAACGCUGGCGGCGUGCUUAACACAUGCAGGUCGAGCGAAGCACUUUUGCGGAUUUCUUCGGAUUGAAGCAAUUGUGACUGAGCGGCGGACGGGUGAGUAACGCGUGGGUAACCUGCCUCAUACAGGGGGAUAACAGUUGGAAACGGCUGCUAAUACCGCAUAAGCGCACAGUACCGCAUGGUACCGUGUGAAAAACUCCGGUGGUAUGAGAUGGACCCGCGUCUGAUUAGCUAGUUGGUGGGGUAACGGCCUACCAAGGCGACGAUCAGUAGCCGACCUGAGAGGGUGACCGGCCACAUUGGGACUGAGACACGGCCCAAACUCCUACGGGAGGCAGCAGUGGGGAAUAUUGCACAAUGGGGGAAACCCUGAUGCAGCGACGCCGCGUGAGCGAUGAAGUAUUUCGGUAUGUAAAGCUCUAUCAGCAGGGAAGAAAAUGACGGUACCUGACUAAGAAGCCCCGGCUAACUACGUGCCAGCAGCCGCGGUAAUACGUAGGGGGCAAGCGUUAUCCGGAUUUACUGGGUGUAAAGGGAGCGUAGACGGCAUGGCAAGCCAGAUGUGAAAGCCCGGGGCUCAACCCCGGGACUGCAUUUGGAACUGUCAGGCUAGAGUGUCGGAGAGGAAAGCGGAAUUCCUAGUGUAGCGGUGAAAUGCGUAGAUAUUAGGAGGAACACCAGUGGCGAAGGCGGCUUUCUG
rnacentral:rRNA from 1 species